AGACUCCCAAAAUGUUACAGGCGAUUGCUAUUGCACUUGGUUGACCUCCAGAGAUGAAGGAAGGCUUACAUGCAACCCAGGCUGGCCUCACAUUAACUAUAUAAUUGAUGUGUUGGAUCUCAGCCUAGGAUAUGACGCCUCCAACUUUCAGAGUGAGUCUUAACACCUCAAAUGACCUAUCUGGGAUAUUCCUUCACCUCAUCUUAAUAAUCCCUCAUGGGUGCACCAGGCUCCUAAGAGAUUCCAGAUCCUGUCAAGCUGACACCAACCAUCACACUUCUCUUAAUUCGAAUUAAUCGAUUCUGAUUCUGUUAAGUCACUGAUAAGAGAAAUGAGAAGAAGCUGCAACUGAAACAGAGUUUUUAAGACACAUCAAUUAGAAAAAGCAAUACUACCUAGAGGAAAUGGAGACUUUAUAAACAAGUAAGAAAAGGGAAUAUAUAGUUGAAAAGUAGAAAACUUGAAGAAGAAAAACAACAACAACAGCACGAAAUACGGGAACAUAUGGCCAGCAAACUUGUAGAAAGUGAUCAACAUAAUUAAUAAUAAAAAAAAAUCAAAA